rnacentral:rRNA from 1 species
UACGAAGGGGGCUAGCGUUGUUCGGAAUUACUGGGCGUAAAGCGCACGUAGGCGGAUCGAUCAGUCAGGGGUGAAAUCCCAGGGCUCAACCCUGGAACUGCCUUUGAUACUGUCGAUCUGGAGUAUGGAAGAGGUGAGUGGAAUUCCGAGUGUAGAGGUGAAAUUCGUAGAUAUUCGGAAGAACACCAGUGGCGAAGGCGGCUCACUGGACCGGCAUUGACGCUGAGGUGCGAAAGCGUGGGGAGCAAACAGG